AUAUUACCGAAGCUGUGGACUACACCAUUAGGUGUAGUGGUAGGAGAGCGUUCUAAGGGCGUUGAAGGUCGAUCGUGAGGACGGCUGGAGCGCUUAGAAGUGAGAAUGCCGGUAUGAGUAGCGAAAGACAGGUGAGAAUCCUGUCCACCGUAUGACUAAGGUUUCCUGGGGAAGGCUCGUCCGCCCAGGGUUAGUCGGGACCUAAGCCGAGGCCGAUAGGCGUAGGCGAUGGACAACAGGUUGAUAUUCCUGUACCAGUUGUUUUUGUUUGAGCAAUGGAGGGACGCAGUAGGCUAAGGAAUGCAUGCGAUUGGAAGUGCAUGUCCAAGCAAUGAGUCUUGAGUAGAGUUAAAUGCUUUACUCUUUAAGGACAAGUUGUGACGGGGAGCGAAAUAAUAGUAGCGAAGUUCCUGAUGUCACACUGCCAAGAAAAGCUUCUAGUGAGAAAACAACUGCCCGUACCGUAAACCGACACAGGUAGUCGAGGAGAGUAUCCUAAGGUGAGCGAGCGAACUCUCGUUAAGGAACUCGGCAAAAUGACCCCGUAACUUCGGGAGAAGGGGUGCUGACUUCGGUCAGCCGCAGUGAAUAGGCCCAAGCGACUGUUUAUCAAAAACACAGGUCUCUGCAAAAUCGUAAGAUGAAGUAUAGGGGCUGACGCCUGCCCGGUGCUGGAAGGUUAAGAGGAUGGGUUAGCUUCGGCGAAGCUC
rnacentral:rRNA from 1 species